GGAGAGACCAAGCAGAUACAUCUCCUGAAAAUAUAUCUGGAAUGAUCCAUCUAAAAUUACAGCAAUUAAAAUGCUCUAAGUGCAUUAACUCGGCGGAGUGCUUCCACAGUACCGAGGCAAGUGUCGACUCCCGGAGCGUUGCACUGUGGGGAGCUAUCCCACAGUUCCCGCAGUCUCUGCUGCUCACUGGAAUUCUGGGUUGAGAUCCCAAUGCCUGAUGGGGCUAAAACAUUGUCGCGGGUCGUUCUGGGUACAUAUCGUCAGGCCCCCGUUCCCUCCCUCCCUCCGUGAAAGCAGGAACAGACAAUCCGCUGAUGAGCUCUGCAUGGUCACCUCUGCUGAUGAGUUCUGCAUGGUCACCUGCAGCUUGCCACGCUGGCCAAACAGGAAAUGAGAUUCAAAAGUUCGCGGUUCUUUUCCUGUCUACCUGGCCAGUGCAUCUGAGUUGAGAGUGCUCUCCAGAGCAGUCACAAUGGAGCACUCUGGGAUAGCUCCUGGAGGCCAAUACCGUCGAAUUGUGUCCACAGUACUCCAAAUUUGACCCGGCAAGGCUGAUUUAAGCGCUAAUCCACUUGUCAGGGGUGGAGUAAGGAAAUCGAUUUUAAGAACCCUUUAAGUCGAACAAAAGGGUUUCAUCGUGUGGACGGGUGCAGGUUUACAUCGAUUUAACGCUGCUAAAUUCGACCUAAAGUCCUAGUGUAGACCAGGGCUAAGUGACCCUUACCUGAAUUUUGUGUAAAUCACUUGGUGGUGGCAGCAAUACCGUCCAAGGACAAGGAAAGGAAUUUAUGCCUUGGGGAAGUUUUUAACCUAAGCUGGUGGAAUAUGAGCUUAGGGGGUCUUUCAUGUGAGUCCCCACAUCUGUAUCCCAGAGUUCAGAGUGGGGAGGGGAACUAUGACGGAUAAAAAGAUUAUUUGUAUCUUCCUGAGGCUUAGCACGGUGGUUAGCGAGCGUGUGUGUCACUGUUCGCAGUUUGUCUCAUCAGGAAUGGUUCCUGGGGAUUGCACCUGGCCAGAGAGAACAGCCCGGCUCUUUGAUCUCUCUCCCCCACAUUCCAGUGGGCUCACGACAGACCCGUUCUUCCCCAAGGCAGAGACACCAGUGCGGAGCCCUGCCCUUUAUAGGCAGAGAUCAGAGAAAAGCCCAAUGAGAGCAGUGCCCUUCCCCUCAACCACAUCACCCCCCGGUGGGCAGAGUUUUCCCUCAUUCUGGGGGAGCCCCUCCCCAGCAGGCAGAGGGAAAGACAGGAAGGAUGACCGAAAAACAGACACACUCACAUUGUCCUCAGCUCAUUAGUCCUUGUGGAGGAGGGGCGCUCACAGCCCUGGCAGGAGGAUGCAGCUGCUGCCUCAGUUUCCCUCCUCGGUUGGGAGGAGCCAUUCACAUGAGGACUUAAGUUUACAAAAUAAAAGUUUCCCUUCUGGGAGCUGGUGUAUUAUUAUACAAAUAUUUAUGUACACACAUGUAUAUACACACACACACACGUCUAUGCUAGCACGUUCCAGCCAUCCCCUCCUGUCUGCGGCGUCUCUUCACACUCCCCCAGCACUCAGCAGGGCCUCCACAACAGCCCGUCUCGCUGUACAGCAGAGUUCAUGCGUCCAGGCUGCAGGGUUCACACCGGCCCCUUCACCGCAUGGCUGCAGGGGCCACAGCACCUCCCGAUGGCCCCAGCUGGUCCAUUAGCCUCUAGCCACAGCUCGGGCCAGGCUCCUGCCCUGGGCCCCCGACAGGAGGGACACAGCAGGCUGGGCUGCUCCCCUUCUCAUUUCCAAGUCAGAAGAUCCCUUCUCUGUGACAGAGAGCGAGCUGGGGGAUGCUGGCUAAUCAGCACCCUCACCCCAGUCCCCAAAUGGCCCAAUGGGUGCCAGAGGCUCCAAGGGGAGGAGACAUCAGAUGUCCUUCAGCAAGCGUCUCUCUUCCUUGCUGCUGGGGCUGUCCCCCUUCGCCAGCCCCAUCCAGUUCCCCAGUCACUGAGGCAGCUUGGGACAGCCCCGUUAAAAAGACAAGGCCCCGCCUCAUCCAGGUCACUGUCACUUUGCUCUGCCUUCUGGUUUCUCCGCUGGUUUGCUGCAGAUCCAGUGUCCCGCCCUGGAGCAGUCUGAACUGGCAAUUUCGCCAUUGUCCACAUAAGCACAUAGGCCUCCUCCCAAUAUCAUAAGCCUGUAACAGCAACAAAUAAUAAUAAAAAACCCUGCACAACUGUCAGAGCAGCUGUGAGGUUGCACUCCAUAUGCUUUAUGGAAAUAUGCUUAUGAGGGUGAAUAUGAUGGAAUAUGCAAAAGGUGUCUUGUAAGGUAUCAUAACAAAGUAUCAUAACAUACUGAAUAUAUUCCUCCUAUAUGUAUGCAUGUAUCAUUGUUGUAUCUGAAGCUAGAAAUAUGAAGUAUAACUCUGAGGUCCUAUAAUAAUUAUGCAAAGCGUGGGCCAUUAAUGGUGGUUUAGAAUCUUGAUGGCUCCCAAUGACUAGGACAAUUGGUGGUAAAUGGUUUAUUUACCUGCAAACCUUCCUGUGGAUGUGUGGGCCAACCCAGGAAGAAUGGAGACUAGGGGCCUUACAGUGAUGUGACCAUGUCACAUGGUAAUGGAGCCCAUCUUAAUCCUUGUACUUUUCCAUUGAUGAGGUGGGGAUGGGGACAAGCACAGACAAAAGAUUCCCACCUUGUGCCAAAGCUAUAAAAGUGGGUGGAGCAGGAGAAAGAGGGUGGCCAGUCAUGAGAAAACCCCUGCUUAUCAACUUAGAUGUCCGCUGCAACUAACAAGGACUGUACCAGGGGAAAGGAUUGGGCCCAGAGUAGGAAGGACUCUAGUCUGUGAAAGAAGCUUAUUGGAACAUCUUUGAGGGUGAGAUAUUACUUGUAAUCAGUUUCUUAAUGUAUGAGGCUUAAACGUGCGUGUUUGUUUUAUUUUGCUUGGUAACUUACUUUGUUUUCUCUGUUAUUACUUGAAACCACUUAAAUCCUACUUUUUAUACUUAAUAAAAUCACUUUUGUUUAUUAAUUAA